CCUACGGGUGGCUGCAGUGGGGAAUAUUGGACAAUGGGGGCAACCCUGAUCCAGCCAUGCCGCGUGUGUGAAGAAGGCCCUCGGGUUGUAAAGCACUUUCAGUGAGGAAGAACGCCUGGUGGUUAAUACCCAUCAGGAAAGACAUCACUCACAGAAGAAGCACCGGCUAACUCCGUGCCAGCAGCCGCGGUAAUACGGAGGGUGCGAGCGUUAAUCGGAAUUACUGGGCGUAAAGCGCGCGUAGGUGGCUUGAUAAGCCGGUUGUGAAAGCCCCGGGCUCAACCUGGGAACGGCAUCCGGAACUGUCAAGCUAGAGUGCAGGAGAGGAAGGUAGAAUUCCCGGUGUAGCGGUGAAAUGCGUAGAGAUCGGGAGGAAUACCAGUGGCGAAGGCGGCCUUCUGGACUGACACUGACACUGAGGUGCGAAAGCGUGGAUAGCAAACAGGAUUAGAUACCCUGGUAGUC
rnacentral:rRNA from 1 species